rnacentral:rRNA from 1 species
AACGAACGCUGGCGGCAGGCCUAACACAUGCAAGUCGAGCGCGCCCUUCGGGAUGAGCGGCGGACGGGGGAGUAACGCGUGGGAACGUGCCCUUUUCUACGGAAUAGCCUCGGGAAACGGAGAGUAAUACCGUAUAAGCCCUGUGGGGGAAAGAUUGAACGUAAAAGGAUAGGCACGCGUUGGUUUAGGUUGUUGGGGGGGUAAGGGCCUACCACGGCGUCGAUCCAUAGCUGGGUUGAGAGGAUGAGCAGCCACACUGGGAAUGAGACACGGCCCAGAAUCCUACGGGAGGCAGCAGUGGGGAAUCUUAGACAACGGGGGCAACCCUGAUCUAGCCAUGCCGGGUGAGUCAUGAAGGCCUUAGGGAUGUAAAGCUCUUUAAGCUGGGAAGAUAAUGACGGUACCAACAGAAGAAGCCCCGGCUAACUCCGUG